UACAGAGGUCUCAAGCGUUGUUCGGAUUCAUUGGGCGUAAAGGGUGCGUAGGCGGCGUGGUAAGUCGGGUGUGAAAUCUCGGAGCUUAACUCCGAAACUGCAUUCGAUACUGCCGUGCUUGAGGACUGGAGAGGAGACUGGAAUUUACGGUGUAGCGGUGAAAUGCGUAGAUAUCGUAAGGAAGACCAGUGGCGAAGGCGGGGUCUCUGGACAGUUCCUGACGCUGAGGCACGAAGGCCAGGGGGAGCAAACGGG
rnacentral:rRNA from 1 species